GUCUUUCCCUGGCUGAUAUCACUCCUUGCCCGGACCACAGAGGGACAUUCACUACUCUAGCAGGCACUCUUCACUCUCUCAGUCUUUGUUUUCUGCUGGCAGCGGUUGUUUCUGUCGACAAUCUACCCUGUCACGUGACCCCAGGCGUAGGAAGAAGAGGCCUAAUUAUUCAUUGGUAAGACACUAACAUUUGACAGGGGAAGCCACACUAGGACCUAAAAUGUUGUUGUUCUUCACCAUCUUCUGCGCCGUCCUGACAACAGGUCAUUCGUGCUCCUGUCUUCUAAACACGAGCAGAAUCAUGGACCAACUUGAAUUGUACUGCCAGUAUCACAUGGUUGUCAUUGGAGAGCCACUCACCGAGACUGAGGACAAUGGAGAGAGGACCUACACAGUCAGAGUGCGCCACCCUUUGCUAGUUCGAAGUCCAGUCUACGAACCGUUUACAGUAACCAUCAAAACAUCCAUGUCUGAAGACACCUGCGGAAAAAGAUUUGAUCUCUCCAAUACUUACGUCUUUGCUUUAAAUAAGACGAAUCGUAAUUGGAGAACUUCAUCAUGUGACCCAAACAUCCAGUGGGAAAUGUCACAAAGCAAUCAGCUCAAAAUGAGAAGAUUUGUGAGACGUUGCCCUGGUGCGGUGUGACUACCGUGACCCGGACACAGCCUCGAAUGAAACAUCUCCCACAACCUGCCAAGCAAGUCUUCCAUGUGCUGUAAGCAAUGAAACAUCGGUCUGAUGCAGGAGGCUAGUAAAUGUACGAACUUGUGAACACAC
rnacentral:lncRNA from 1 species